rnacentral:rRNA from 1 species
CAAUAGCGUAUAUUAAAGUUGUUGCAGUUAAAAAGCUCGUAGUUGAAUUUCGGGUCCCCGCGCUCGGCGCUUCAUUGUGCCGUCGUGGUGUCCCUCCUCGCCGUAAGGCGUCCUUUACUGUGAAAAAAUUAGAGUGUUCAAAGCAGGCAAUCGCUUGAAUACAUUAGCAUGGAAUAAUAAGAUAGGAUCUUGUCUAUUUUGUUGGUUGCGGACAACGAUAAUGAUUAAUAGGGAUAGUUGGGGGUGUCCGUAUUGAGCUGUCAGAGGUGAAAUUCUUGGAUUUGCUCAAGACGAACUACUGCGAAAGCAUUUGCCAAGGAUGUUUUCAUUGA